GACGAACGCUGGCGGCGUGCCUAACACAUGCAAGUCGAGCGGGGACAGAGGAGUAGCAAUACGAAUUUGUUCUAGCGGCGGACGGGUGAGUAACGCGUGAGCAACCUGUCCCAAACAGGGGGAUAACGAACCGAAAGGUUCACUAAUACCGCAUAAGACCACGGAGUCACAUGGCUCAGGGGGUCAAAGGAGAAAUCCGGUUUGGGGUGGGCUCGCGUCUGAUUAGCUAGUUGGUGGGGUAACGCCCACCAAGGCGACGAUCAGUAGCCGACCUGAGAGGGUGAUCGGCCACAUUGGAACUGAGACACGGUCCAAACUCCUACGGGAGGCAGCAGUGGGGAAUAUUGGACAAUGGGGGCAACCCCGAUCCAGCCAUGCCGCGUGUGUGAAGAAGGCCUC
rnacentral:rRNA from 1 species